rnacentral:rRNA from 1 species
CCUACGGGGGGCAGCAGUGAGGAAUAUUGGUCAAUGGCCGAGAGGCUGAACCAGCCAAGUCGCGUGAGGGAAGAAUGUCCUAUGGAUUGUAAACCUCUUUUGUCAGGGAGCAACGUCACCCACGUGUGGGUGUUGAAGAGUACCUGAAGAAAAAGCAUCGGCUAACUCCGUGCCAGCAGCCGCGGUAAUACGGAGGAUGCGAGCGUUAUCCGGAUUUAUUGGGUUUAAAGGGUGCGUAGGCGUGUUAUCAAGUCAGCGGUAAAAGCCUGGAACUCAACUUCAUCCAGCCGUUGAAACUGAUGGUCUUGAGUGGGCGAGAAGUAUGCGGAAUGCGUGGUGUAGCGGUGAAAUGCAUAGAUAUCACGCAGAACUCCGAUUGCGAAGGCAGCAUACCGGCGCCCGACUGACGCUGAAGCACGAAAGCGUGGGUAUCGAACAGGAUUAGAUACCCUGGUAGUC